AUUGAACGCUGGCGGCAGGCCUAACACAUGCAAGUCGAGCGGAUGAAGGGAGCUUGCUCCUGGAUUCAGCGGCGGACGGGUGAGUAAUGCCUAGGAAUCUGCCUGGUAGUGGGGGAUAACGUCCGGAAACGGGUGCUAAUACCGCAUACGUCCUGAGGGAGAAAGGGGGGGAUCUUCGGACCUCUCGCUAUCAGAUGAGCCUAGGUCGGAUUAGCUAGUUGGUGGGGUAAAGGCCUACCAAGGCGACGAUCCGCAACUGGUCUGAAAGGAUGAACAGUCACACUGGAACUGAGACACGGUCCAGACUCCUACGGGAAGCAGCAGUGGGGAAUAUUGGACAAUGGGCGAAAGCCUGAUCCAACCAUGCCGCGUGUGUGAAGAAGGUCUUCGGAUUGUAAAGCACUUUAAGUUGGGAGGAAGGGCAGUAAGUUAAUACCUUGCUGUUUUGACGUUACCAACAGAAUAAGCACCGGCUAACUUCGUG
rnacentral:rRNA from 1 species